CAGUAGCCGCGGUAAUACGGAGGGUGCAAGCGUUAAUCGGAAUUACUGGGCGUAAAGCGCACGCAGGCGGUCUGACAAGUCAGAUGUGAAAUCCCCGGGCUUAACCUGGGAACUGCAUUUGAAACUGUCAGGCUGGAGUCUUGUAGAGGGGGGUAGAAUUCCAGGUGUAGCGGUGAAAUGCGUAGAGAUCUGGAGGAAUACCGGUGGCGAAGGCGGCCAUCUGGCCUAAUACUGACGCUGAGGUACGAAAGCAUGGGGAGCAAACAGGAUUAGAUACCCCAUAGUCCCUGUCUCUUAUACA
rnacentral:rRNA from 1 species